UACAUCAAUCCCGUGUAGACAGGAUUCUUCCCACUCAACAGGUGAGGUGAUGAGAAGUCACAUACACCCGGAUGAAGCCUUGGGACGGUGGUCAGCCCAGCACCAUGGUUCACCUUAAAACAAACCUCAUCUUGGCUCUGUCAUCGUCAUGAGAGAGGUCACCCCGGGCUGUGCCAUUCGCGCUCUCCACUGCAGAACAAUGGAAGGGGAGCUACCAAGGACGUGGCAGAGGUGGCAGUCAGGUGCGCCGCACUCGGGAUGCCCGGGGUAUGGAUUGGUACUACUCUGGAAAAUCACCUGCGGAGUCCGACCGUGCGGUCACAAGAACCUUUUAUUAAAAUUUCCUGUGUGAAAUCCCAGUCCCCAGAAUAGAUGAAGAGGGGCUUUGGGCAAUGCAAAGCCACUGCCAACCCCAAGUGGCCUAUGACGUGCCUUCAGGAGCCGUGGAAGACAGAGGCUGUGGCACAUGCUUACGGACUGAGAGGUGACUGGAGGCUGUCCCAGAGAAGGGGCUGUGGAGAUGGGCAAAAGCAGCUACAUUUGGGAAUCAUUUGGACAGCAGAAUAAAGGCAGUUUGGUAGCAUGUAUGUUAGAGUAGGAUGCAUUAAUUUCCUCUUGCAGUUAUAACAUAUAUCACAAGCUUAUGGCUUAACACGAGCAAUUUGUCUCCUUAUAGUCCUGGUGGCCAGAACUCAGAAAUGAGGGCUAAAAAUCAGAAUCUUGUUAGGGCUGGUUUUUCCUUGAGGCCCCAGGGAAGAACCUGUUCUUCUCCUUUUCCACGAUCUUAAAGCUUCUGGCAUUCAUUGGCUAGUGGCUACUUCCCUUUACUCUCUACUCUCAGUUAUUUUACUACCCUCUGGCUCCCUCUCACAUAAAUGCGAUUACAUUUAGGUCCCCUGAUAAUCCAGAAUAAUCUUUCUACUUUGAGGCUUAAGAUACUUCAGUUUCCUUAAUGUAAUCAAUCUUCCGUGUCCCUUUUUUGCCGGUAAUGUUCCAGAGAAAAGGACCUGGGCAUCUUUGGGAGCCAUCAUUCAGGAUAUCACAUAGGCAAGGAGAAAAAGAGAUCUUGCAUGAUGCUUGGGGUUCUGGUUUGCCAGUUGGAUAGGUGGCUCAGAGAUGGAGUUGGGGGUCACCAGAUGAACUCUGUUUUGAUCAUACUGAGUUUGAGGUGCUUUUGAGACCUCCAAGAGCAGCUGUCCAUCGGGCGAUUUGGAAAUACAGAUCUGGAGUCCAGAAGAAAGGUCUGAGCUGGAGAUACAAACAUGAGAAUCACCAGUGGGGUGCUCAGUCAUGCCUUGGAGAGGAAUGAGGGUGUCCAGGGAAAGAAUAUAAGAACGCUUGGGGAACAAUGAUGUCGCGGUGAUUUUCAGAGAGGAUCCAAAGAGGCAGGAGGAAAACAAGUACGUUUCUGGCUCAGAAACCGAGAGGGGGAUGAUUUCAAGGAGAAGGAGGUGAUCAACUCUGUCCAAAAUGCCUGACAGCUCAAGUAAAUAGAGGGUUGAAAAUGUCCAUGAAAUUCAUCCCAUGAAUUCCUGAGGCAGAGUGAUGGGAGCAUAAGGUGCAUUAGGUUGGAGCAGGUGGUGGGUGAAUGGAAGGGAAGAAAACAGAGCAAGUAGAGGGAAUUCUAUAUUCAUACCUAUUCUUCUAUGUAUUAUAUAUUCAUAUUCAUCUUUCAGAUCCCCCUUCAACCAUGAGUUCUUCAGGGGAGCUCUCCCUAACCACACAGCUCUUACUUAUAUGAAUUCUCAUAGCCCCAGUAUUCUCUCCCCUAUGGAGCCCUGACCAAAGACUCUUGAGAUGUAUUUAUUGGCAUGAUUGUUUCAUCUCAGGCAUCCUCUGCUACUUCUUGUGUAAGUCACUCAAAAGUGGGGUUCUGGGGAAGGUUUUGCUCACCAUUGUAUUCCCAGAACAUAAUCCAAAGCUGGCACGUAGUAGGUCUAUGACUGAUGUACUGAAUGAGGAGAUGGUCAAAUGAACGUUGUAGUGUAAGUUGCAGAAGAGGAAGCAUUUUUGAUUUCUAGAUAGAGCUAGCUAUAAGGAGAAGGGCACAGACUUUGGACGCAGACACCCAGAACCUUCUGUGUUUUAGUUAUGUGGCUUCAGUAAA